CCGGAGGAAGGUGGUGGGGCUGGGGAGGGGCAGGCGGGCGAACUGCCGGGGCGAGCGCCGAGACCGGCCUGGUCCUCCAGGCCGGCUUCCGCGGAGCCGGCGGCCGGGCCGGUACACUCACCCUGGCGCUCGCUGGAGCCGGGGGCCGCCGCCCUGCAGCGCAGACGGAGCCGGCACAGGGAGGACCAGCUACAUCUGUGGGCCGCAGCGGCGGCGGCCAAGCCCGGCAACAUCCUGGCGGGGCGACGGCCCCUACUCGGACUCCACCUCCUGCCUCAGCGACGCCGCCGGCAACCACUGACUCCAUAGACCGGACACCUGCUAAUACUCACGCCUGCGCCGCCACAGGCGGCCCCAAUGACCGGGAAAUGCUAGGAAAGCCUUGAAGUGACGGGACUUUUUCGGGCGUCUGCCUGCUCUUAUUUCCUGAGUUCGAAACCUGGGUCGUGCUGUUGGAAAUGGGAAGAGAGGUGGGAAGGAAGGAUGGUGGCCUACUUAACCUCUCUCUCCGGAGCCUUCUUGGAUGAGCCCAGCGGCGGCUAGCGUGCCCAACUCAUUACUUUUCGAACCUGGCUCCAGUAUGUCGUUCUUUUCUAACUCACCAUUGUGUAGCCAGAGUACAUGAAGGCAGGUGCUUGCCUUACUAACCUGAACCUCGGAUUCUCGUGUGCAAUGUAAUAAAGUUAAGGCUUUCAUUUGUUCAAGAAGGGAAAAGGGAGAUGUGCAGACGUGGUUAGGGGAGUCAGUCUGCUUCUAGAGAGACCGGAACGAUAUUCACGGUGUUGACCUCUGACGUGCUCAUUCAGAUCUUAGCUCAAACUCAAGAGAGACGCUCCUUGACCACGCGGGCUGGAGUGGGGCUGGUUAUUCUCCACCCUGUUGCCUUGUAGACUCCUCUUCAAAGCGCUCAUCACUAUUGGAAAGUAUCUGUGGAGUUAUUUUUUUAUUUUUUCUCAACAGAGAAAAGCUGCUGAGUGAUCUUCCCAAGCGAGGAUGAGCCAGAACAUGGAAAUCAGACUCAGGUCCUCUGACUCCAGAUCUGCAUUAGGUUCACCCUUUACCACUUCCAUCCAAGAAUAAGCAGAAUUUCUCCAAUGUUGACCGUAUUCCUGGGUCCUCGCUCUUCUCUCCCGCCAUGCACUCCGGGCUCCUUUCCUCAGAGCAUGGCAGGAGAUCCACUUAGAAGAGAAUCAUUACUGAUAACAACAACAACAACAUGUUUACUCACUAGAGAAGUGUAUCUCCUGUUAUCCCUGCUCAAAACUUUGAAGACCUGUGACAAGUGUCUACAAUGACCUUCUGAGAACAGACACCGAACACAGGCAUAUGCUCAAUCUUCAGUUACAUUCCUUGCAAAAGACGUCUGAGCUGCUGCAACUGUCUAUGAAAAUUCAAGCCUAAGAAACCGAGAGAACUGGCAGUCAAGAAUCUCGUCUAGGUAACUCUAUAAACUACUUUGAUACU